GAGUGUAAGAGAGGGUGGAAAAAAAUCUGCUGCAGAUACUAUUAAAUUUUAAUGCUAAAAUAUAUCCAAGUCACCUUCGCAAGGGCCCGAUCUAUAAAAUCGUUUUUGUACCUUGCAAAAGAGUUGCUUGCUAUACACAAAAGGUAACCACAGCUUUGAAAUCGCGUUAAUGAUUCAAGCCUAAAUCAUUACUUAUGAGAGGUCACUGAUUGGUUAAUAUGCUGUCUGCCAUUAGAACUGACAUAAGGGGGCAGUCUGCAGAGGCUUAGAUACAAGAAAGAAAAUGGCCGUUAUUUCUUACAUUGUUUGGCCCGGUGGGAGAAGAUGUCGCCUUUUUGUCUGGCAGGGAGAAUGACACAGACAGACAGCAGUAACAUUGCACUCAGUAGGAACAUACUUUGCUCUCAACAAGAUUCUGUGUUUUAAACAUUGGAAAUGAAUGGUCUCAGGAGGCUCAUUACCGUUUCUUUUGCCUUCACUGAAUAUCCAGCGACAAUGUGUACAACUACUGUCCUACUAAAUGAGCUCCCAUUUAUUAAGAUACAGCAGAAGCAGCUGCUGCUGAUAUCUAGGACAAGCUUGCUGGUUGGUAAUUUUUUUUCUGGGUAACCAUAGCACAAUAAUUUAAACUCAUGUGGGACCUAGCUAAAAAAGAUGUGCCCCAGUCAGCUUAAGGAAAUAUUUCUGAUUGGGUCAUAUUCAUAAAUCAUUUAUUAACUUUAUCUAUAUAUAUAUAUAAUUGAUAGCAAGAAAGAAUCUCCAAUAUCUUUGCUUAUCCUUUUAAUAUGCAGCACAUAUAAAUUAAUUGUCUAAAUUGAAUCUUAAUACACUGUCA